rnacentral:lncRNA from 1 species
AUGGAGUUCCCUGGAAGGGGUCUGGCGUGGGGCUGCGGGACCGCACGAGGGAGCAAGCCCUCUCCAGCGGGGCAGGAAGACCGUCAUCUGCAGAACCUGAUGCACCUGAAUUCGAAUCUUUCUCAGCCACUUGGCACAGGCCUGUGGCCGUGGCACGUCAGACAUGCUCGCUUACGCUCCCACUCCCAGACCUUAAAACAGAGCUGCCCGUCCCCGUGCGUGGUCAUCCUGCUGGUCAGACGGGGCUUGUGACAGUGGACGGUGGUGGAAAGGACCCGACAUGGAACAUCGGCCUCUACUGCCUUGGAACCCUUGUGACUCCGAAUGAGCCGCCCAAUGUCAUCAUUAGAAAAGUGGCUAUAUUCACACUGUGGGGGUCGCUGGGUCGUUACGCUUAAGUGAUCUGAGUUGAUACUGCAA